rnacentral:rRNA from 1 species
CCCUUAGAUGUUCUGGGCCGCACGCGCGCUACACUGACGAAUGCAACGAGCUUAUAACCUUGGCCGAAAGGUCUGGGUAAUCUCCAAAUUUCGUCGUGAUGGGGAUAGAUUAUUGCAAUUAUUAAUCUUCAACGAGGAACGCCUAGUAAGCGCAAGUCAUCAGCUUGCGUUGAUUACGUCCCUGCCCUUUGUACACACCGCCCGUCGCUCCUACCGAUUGAAUGGUCCGGUGAAGCGUUCGGACCGUGGCCUUUGGACGGUUCGCCGUCUGUUGGCUGCGGGAAGUUCGUUAAACCUUAUCAUUUAGAGGAAGGAGAAGUCGUAACA